GUCGACGAUGACCACUUCGGUGGGGAUUAGUGGCSAACGGGUGAGUAACACGUGGGCAAUCUGCCCUUCACUCUGGGACAAGCCCUGGAAACGGGGUCUAAUACCGGAUACCACUACCGCAGGCAUCUGUGGUGGUUGAAAGCUCCGGCGGUGAAGGAUGAGCCCGCGGCCUAUCAGCUUGUUGGUGAGGUAAUGGCUCACCAAGGCGACGACGGGUAGCCGGCCUGAGAGGGCGACCGGCCACACUGGGACUGAGACACGGCCCAGACUCCUACGGGAGGCAGCAGUGGGGAAUAUUGCACAAUGGGCGAAAGCCUGAUGCAGCGACGCCGCGUGAGGGAUGACGGCCUUCGGGUUGUAAACCUCUUUCAGCAGGGAAGAAGCGAAAGUGACGGUACCUGCAGAAGAAGCGCCGGCUAACUACGUGCCAGCAGCCGCGGUAAUACGUAGGGCGCAAGCGUUGUCCGGAAUUAUUGKKCKUMCCCCCCYCSYASGCGGCUUGUCACGUCGGGUGUGAAAGCCCGGGGCUUAACCCCGGGUCUGCAUUCGAUACGGGCUAGCUAGAGUGUGGUAGGGGAGAUCGGAAUUCCUGGUGUAGCGGUGAAAUGCGCAGAUAUCAGGAGGAACACCGGUGGCGAAGGCGGAUCUCUGGGCCAUUACUGACGCUGAGGAGCGAAAGCGUGGGGAGCGAACAGGAUUAGAUACCCUGGUAGUCCACGCCGUAAACGGUGGGAACUAGGUGUUGGCGACAUUCCACGUCGUCGGUGCCGCAGCUAACGCAUUAAGUUCCCCGCCUGGGGGAGUACGGCCGCAAGGCUAAACUCAAAGGAAUUGACGGGGCCCGCACAGCAGCGGAGCAUGUGGCUUAUUCGACGCACGC
rnacentral:rRNA from 1 species